rfam:Danio rerio chromosome 4, GRCz11 reference primary assembly.
AUCGGUACCCUCACAAAAGCACUGACUUUGAUGCUGUAAUUGGUAAGUGCUAUUUGUUGGGGUAGUUUCA